rnacentral:rRNA from 1 species
UACGUAGGGUGCGAGCGUUAAUCGGAAUUACUGGGCGUAAAGUGUGCGCAGGUGGCCGCGCAAGUCGAGUGUGAAAUCCCCGAGCUUAACUUGGGAAUUGCGCUCGAAACUACGUGGCUCGAGUGUGGCAGAGGAAGGUGGAAUUCCACGUGUAGCGGUGAGAUGCGUAGAGAUGUGGAGGAACACCGAUGGCGAAGGCAGCCUUCUGGGCCAACACUGACGCUCAUGCACGAAAGCUAGGGGAGCGAACGGG